AGUGAACGCUGGCGGUAGGCCUAACACAUGCAAGUCGAACGGCAGCACAGUAAGAGCUUGCUCUUACGGGUGGCGAGUGGCGGACGGGUGAGGAAUACAUCGGAAUCUACUUUUUCGGGGGGGAUAACGGAGGGAAACUUACGCUAAUACCGCAUACGACCUACGGGUGAAAGCAGGGGAUCUUCGGACCUUGCGCGAUUGAAUGAGCCGAUGUCGGAUUAGCUAGUUGGCGGGGUAAAGGCCCACCAAGGCAACGAACCGUAGCUGGUCUGAGAGGAUGAUCAGCCACACUGGAACUGAGACACGGUCCAGACUCCUACGGGAGGCAGCAGUGGGGAAUAUUGGACAAUGGGCGCAAGCCUGACCCAGCCAUGCCGCGUGGGUGAAGAAGGCCUUCGGGUUGUAAAGCUCUUUUGUUGGGAAAGAACAGCAGCAGGUUAAUACCCCGCUGUCCUGACGGUACCCAAAGAAUAAGCACCGGCUAACUUCGUG
rnacentral:rRNA from 1 species